rnacentral:misc_RNA from 1 species
GAUGAAGAACGUAGCGAAAUGCGAUAAGUAAUGUGAAUUGCAGAAUUCAGUGAAUCAUCGAAUCUUUGAACGCGCAUUGCGCCCCUUGGUAUUCCGAGGGGCAUGCCUGUUCGAGCGUCAUUUCAACCCCUCAAGCUUAGCUUGGUGUUGGGCUGCGCCAGCGUUGCUGGCGGGCCUUAAAAUCAGUGGCGGUGCCGUUUGGGCUCCAAGCGUAGUAGCAUCUCUCGCUCUGGAGACCCGGCGGUUGCUUGCCAGACAAUCACUAAAAAAACAAAGGUUUGACCUCGGAUCAGGUAGGGAUACCCGCUGAACUUAAGCAUAUCAAUAAGCGGAGGA